rnacentral:rRNA from 1 species
GACAGAGGGUGCAAACGUUGUUCGGAAUUACUGGGCGUAAAGCGUGUGUAGGCUGCCCCGCAAGUCGGAUGUGAAAGCCCUUGGCUCAACUGAGGAAGUGCACCCGAAACUGAGUGGCUUGAGUACUAAAGAGGGUCGCGGAAUUCCCGGUGUAGAGGUGAAAUUCGUAGAUAUCGGGAGGAACACCGGUGGCGAAGGCGGCGACCUGGGUAGAUACUGACGCUGAGGCGCGAAAGCGUGGGGAGCAAACAGG